UGGGGAAUAUUGGACAAUGGGCGCAAGCCUGAUCCAGCCAUGCCGCGUGGGUGAUGAAGGCCCUAGGGUUGUAAAGCCCUUUCGGCGGGGAAGAUAAUGACGGUACCCGCAGAAGAAGCCCCGGCUAACUUCGUGCCAGCAGCCGCGGUAAUACGAAGGGGGCUAGCGUUGCUCGGAAUCACUGGGCGUAAAGCGCACGUAGGCGGCUUUUUAAGUCAGGGGUGAAAUCCUGGAGCUCAACUCCAGAACUGCCUUUGAUACUGAGAAGCUUGAGUCCGGGAGAGGUGAGUGGAACUGCGAGUGUAGAGGUGAAAUUCGUAGAUAUUCGCAAGAACACCAGUGGCGAAGGCGGCUCACUGGCCCGGUACUGACGCUGAGGUGCGAAAGCGUGGGGAGCAAACA
rnacentral:rRNA from 1 species